rnacentral:lncRNA from 1 species
UCUGGAUUUGGGUCGUCGAGGGAGUCUGUCUGCCUCUCUGAAGUAUGGCCGUGUGGUCUCCGUGGAGUCUGCUUCUCUGGGAAGCACUGCUUCCCAUGGUCAUCGCCAGUGCCCAAGUGCAGGGCCAGGUGGGCGGCUCGGCGCUGCUGGUGGCAGAUCACCCUCCCGGUUUCCAAGUCCGAGAGGCCAUCUGGAGAUCCCUCUGGCCUUCAGAGGAGCUCCUGGCCACGUUCUUCCGGGGCUCCCCAGAGACGCUAUACCGCUCCCGCUUCCUGGGCCGAGCCCAGCUGCACAGCAACCUCAGCCUGGAACUGCGGCCACUGGAGUCUGGAGACAGCGGCAACUUCUCCGUGCUGCUGGUGGACAAGCAAGGUCGGGCCCGGACCCAGACCCUGCAGCUCAAAGUGUACGAUGCAGUGCCCAGGCCCGUGGUCAAAGUGUUCAUCGCUGUAUCAGGGGAUGCUCAGCCCCCCAAGACCUGCCAAGUGUUCCUGUCCUGCUGGGCUCCCAACAUCAGCGACAUAACCUAUAGCUGGCGACGGGAGGGAACUGUGGACCUUGGUAUGGAGCCAGCUGGCCUCUUCACAGAUGGACAGGUGCUGAGUGUGUCCCUGGGACCGGGAGACAAAGGCGUGGCCUAUUCCUGCAUUGUCUCCAACCCCGUCAGCUGGGACCUGGCCACAGUCACCCCCUGGGAGAGCUGCCAUCGCCAGGCAGGUAUGCCGAGGGCUGGGGAGCAGUGGUUGAGGGGUGGUGACGCUUCUGGUCCCCCUGUGACCGUGUCUCCUCCAUGUCCAGCUCCAGGGAGGGCCUCCUACAAAGACGUGCUGCUGGUGGUGGUGCCCGUCUUGCUGCUCCUGAUCCUGGCUGGUCUGUCUGCCUGGCACUGGGGCCCCUGGUCAGGUAGGAGUCCUGUGGGGGCUGGGAUGGGCCGAGGAGGCAGGUCUGCGGAGGAGGAGGGCAGAGUUCGGACCUCCUCUUAG